rnacentral:rRNA from 1 species
AUGGAAGUGACAAGGGACACGACGCAGUCCUGCUCCGGCGGCCUGGCAGCGCUCGCUGCCAGCCUCGCGAGUCGCCUCGCCGACGACAACGCGGACAGCAACCUGGUGUUCUCGCCGCUGUCCAUCUACGCGGCGCUCGCGCUGGCCACCGGCGCCCGGGGCGAUACACUUGACGAGAUCCUCGGCGUCCUCGGCGCGCCGUCUCGCGCCGCGCUCGACGAGUUCCUCUCCCGCGUGGCGGAGGACGCGCUCGAGGACCACUCCGAGUCCGGCGGGCCGCGCGUGGCGUUCGCGUGCGGCGUGUGGACCGACCUCACGUGCCCGCUGAAGCCAGCCUACCGCCACGCCGCCGCGAGCACGUACAAGGCCGAUGCCAGCACCGUCGACUUCCGCAACAAUCCGGAGGCGGCACGGGGUCAGAUCAACGCGUGGGUCGCGCAGCUCACCCGCGCCGUGCUCGGCAACGCUAUAUACUUCAAGGGCAAGUGGGAGAAGCCCUUCCGCAAGAAGCGCACCGCCGACAAACUCUUUCACCGGCUCGACGGCCGCACCGUCGACGUGCCCUUCAUGCAGAGCCGGAGCUCCCAGUUCAUCGCCGUGCACAAAGGGUUUAAGGUGCUGAAACUCCGGUACCAAAUGGCUUAAGCGCAAGGACGGCGCGCCGAUCGUGACAAGCGUGCACAGUUUUCUAUGUGCGUCUUCCUCCCUGAUGCCUUCAACGGCUUGCCGGGCCUGGUCGACGCGAUAGCGUCCCAACCUGGCUUCCGGCACAAGCACCUGCCGAAGGAGAAGAUCCACGUUAGGGAGUUUCGGGUGCCCAAGUUCAAGCUGUCAUUCCACAGGAGCGUGGUCACCAUUAUCAACAAGCUGGGGCUCCGCUUGCCGUUCAGCGACCAAGCCGAUCUAUCUGACAUGGUGGAGGUGCCAUUGGUCCUGAGUGACAUCAUCCACAAGGCGGUCAUCGAGGUAAACGAGGAAGGCACCGAAGCUACAGCCGUCACAUUGGAGGCGAUCGGCGCGGUUGUCUUUGUGGGGCACGUCCUCGACCCCUCAGCCUUAUGA